UGGCGGACGGGUGAGUAAUGUCUGGGAAACUGCCUGAUGGAGGGGGAUAACUACUGGAAACGGUAGCUAAUACCGCAUAACGUCGCAAGACCAAGAGGGGGACCUUGGGCCUCUUGCCAUCGGAUGUGCCCAGAUGGGAUUAGCUAGUAGGUGGGGUAACGGCUCACCUAGGCGACGAUCCCUAGCUGGUCUGAGAGGAUGACCAGCCACACUGGAACUGAGACACGGUCCAG
rnacentral:rRNA from 1 species